CUAAAUCAACUGUCCCCAUUCCUCAAGCCAAGGAUAAGUAUUGGCCUGUGGCCUGUUAAGAGGCUGGCCAUACAGCAGAAUCUGAGUAGCACAUGCAUGAGCAAAGUUUCAUCUGUAUUUACAGCUGCUGUCCAUUACUCACAUUACUGCCUGGGCACCUCCGGUUAGACCAAGGAGAACAUCAGAUUCUCAAGGAAGCACUAACCCUACUGUGAACUGCACAUGUGAGGGACUCAGGUUGUGCCCUUUUUAUGAGAAUCUAAUCCCGAAAACAUCCUCACCACGUCUGUGGAAAAACUGUCUCCCAUGAAACUAGUCUCUGCUGCCAAAAAGGCUGGACACAGCUGCUCUAAAUGUCUGUGUACAUUUCUGUUCAUGAAGGAAAUGACUGAAGGUCCCUUUGGGGAAAGGGUCUGUGUUCUAGAACCACUCCUGGAACCAGCUGCCUUAGUGUGGGUCCUCAGAAGCCAGUCUCUGAGCUGGAGAUUUGUGGACAAGAGGUUCAUCGGGAGGUGCCCUCGAGAACACCAGGAUGGAGUUAGAGAAGACCACUGGCCAUGGAGGCUGGGCAACUCUGAUGCAGGCACAACAAAGGGUCAGCCAGGACCACAGGGAGCUGUGUACCUGGACGGUCCUUCAGAGCUGCCCCAAAUAGGAACAAGGAAGCAAGGCUUUGUACAUCACAGGCAGGGGUGUGGCCUCAAAAGGCUACUCCUUGAGGGCAGUGCUCGGAGACAGACCUGCUGUGGGAAGCCACCACUCCUGGCAACAGGAGAACGGGCACAUAGUGCUGAAGGGGCAUCGGGGUAGCAUACCACAGCAUCCACGACGUGCCUCAGACUCAGGUUUUUCACAAAAUUAAAUCCCAACUUCCUCAUUCACCCCAGAGGUUUCCUCAAAUCAGCAAAUGGUACCACUAAGCAGCUAGUGUCUGCUGUCAAAAUCUCAAAUUCAUCCUUGUUCCUCAGUUUCCCUUUCUGUCCCUAAUCCAGUCCGCCACAAGUACCACUGGUCCUGCAUCGAAACAUUGUCCCCAAUUUGUCAACUUCUCCCUAAUCUCUCUGCCACUACUGUGUGCCAAGUCCCAGACUGCUCACUGCAGCCCUGCUGUGGCUGUCUUAGGUGGUUAGGGGCUUCUAUAACCAAAAACUUUAGAUUAGGUGAUUUAUAAACAACGGAAAUAUACUCAUCGCAGUUCUGGAGGCUGGGAAGUCCAAGUCAAGAUACCAACAGAUUGGGUGUCUGGUAAUGGCUGCUCUGCUUCACAGAUGGUGCCUUUUUCCUUCAUUUUCACCUCUCUCAGGCCUCUUUAAAAAAAACAAAAAAGGUACUGAUUGCAUUGAGGAGGCC
ensembl:lncRNA